rnacentral:lncRNA from 1 species
CUUAAUAUCCUGUAGUAUCCUUUUGGACACCGCUGCCACGGGAGGGAUGGACAAUAUAUGUCAUGCAAGUUCUUUUCCCUAAGCACGUAUGAUUACCCACGGAAUGCAUGCCUACAUCACAUUGACGAACGGGAGCUAGACACAUAUCUCUCCGUGUUAUAACUGUUGAAUGAUGAAUGUCAUCCAAACGAAUCACCGACCCAUUGCCUACGAGUUUGUCCCACUGCUGCUGUUAGUUGCUCUGCUACUACUGUUGUUACUACUGGUGCUGCUAUUGAUACUUGUUACUACUGUUACUUGCUAUUGUUGCUACUUGCUAUUGUUGUCACUACUGUUGGUCCUUGCUACUGCUAUUACUCGUUACACUGCUGCUACCUGCUACAAUACUGGUUCGCACCACGUUGACAGGAAAGAAUAUUUCCCGUCCACGAGCAACUUCUGGCGCCAUUGAUACAACAGUUAGGAAUAGUCUGCCGUCAACAGAUCAUUUCUGACACCGUUGUUAUCAUACUACUUUUUUGCUGAUACUUUGCUUGCGGAUACUAAUCUUUCACGUGUGGUUAAAUCUGACACAUUCAGUUGCUAAUACUCGAGAGUAUCCUCUCACUUUCUACCUGGCGAACCAACAAAUUUGGGUCGAAUACAAUACCC